AAAUACGAAGGCCGGAUCAUCCGAUUUCGGUGAGUAAGGAGGGGUUCAUCUUGUUUGAUGUAACUUCUGUCUUGUCUCGCGAUUUUUCGGCAGAGGUUUCAAUGGUGCCCUUCACCGGGUGUCUUGGGAUACUGUCGGGUUUACUUUGAAAAAAUUAGAGUGCUCAAAGCAGGCUGUUAAAAGCUUGAAUAUUCGUGCAUGGAAUAAUGAAAUAGGAAGUCGUUUCUAUUUUGUUGGUUUUCGGAAAUCGACUUAAUGAUUAAUAGGGACAGUCGGGGGCAUUAGUAUUCAGACGACAGAGGUGAAAUUCUUGGACCGUCUGAAGACUAACUACUGCGAAAGCAUUUGCCAAGAAUGUUUUCAUUAAUCAAGAACGAAAGUUAGAGGUUCGAAGGCGAUCAGAUACCGCCCUAGUUCUAACCAUAAACGAUGCUAACUAGCGUCCGCAGUUGUUAUUUUACGA
rnacentral:rRNA from 1 species